rnacentral:tRNA from 2 species
GCUGGAAUAGCUUAGUUGGUUAGAGCUUGUGGCUGUUAACCACAAGGUCGGAGGUUCAAGCCCUCCUUCUAGCG